GAUGAACGCUGGCGGCGUGCUUAACACAUGCAAGUCGAACGAAGGAACGACAACCUUGCUGCUCGGAGGGUAGCGGCGGACGAGUGAGGAACACGAGGAUAACCUCCCGAUACGACUUGGAGAACUACGGGAAACCGGAGCUGAUACCACGGAAUAUUUUGAACCUGAUGCUUCAAGAGUGAGAGACGGUCUUGCUUUCACUUGGGGAUGGAUCCGCGCUGCAUUAGCUAGUUGGUAAGGUAACGGCGUACCAAGGCGACGAUGGGUAGCCGGCCUGAGAGGGUGGUCGGCCACACUGGAACUGAGGCACGGUCCCGAAUACUACGGGGGGCAGCAGUAGGGGAUCUUCCGGCACGGGGGGAAGCCGGAUGGAGCAACGCCGCGUGGGGGGUGAAGGUCUUCGGAUCGUUAAAAUCCUUUAUUGCGGGAGAAGCAAUGUGGAAGUAACUGUGCACGGCUUGACGGUAGCUAAACAAAAAGCCCCGGCUAACUACGUG
rnacentral:rRNA from 1 species